AGUCGCGCCCGCCUCACGCCCCCAGGAAGAGCGCCGAGCGGCGGCGGAGUCGGCCAAUCCGGAGCCAGUCCUCGGGGGGCCGGUCACCAGAGCCAAUGAAGUGGCAGGAGUGGGGCGGGGCCUCUGGCCUGCCGGGUAGGCGGAGGAAGACUCCAUUCCUCCCGGAGCUGAACUGGGCGGGUCUGGGCGUUGGCGGGCGGUACCCGCCGGGGCGGAUUUCUUGGUUGGGUCGUUGAAAUAGGAGUCAGCGUCCCCUGAGGAACCUGUCAGUCAGAGCAGCACCUCUGGAUUUCCUCCCGGGACGUUGAAUCCUCUCACACUCGGUAAUGACCUUAGGUCUCGGGAGGGUCUGGUGAGCAGAGCGGCAAGCCGCGCAAAGACGCGGCUUUAAAAGCAAGGUUUUAUUGAAAACACUUGAACCAACGGUUCUCAAAUCCCAGCUGCUCUUUUAGAGCGACGUUCAAAAUAACCAAAUCCGAACACAAUGAGGGAAUUCAGAUGAGCCCUUGGAGUUGACUUUAUUUAGAGAAAAUUGAGGUUGUAAAAUAAAGUAUCGGUUUCUUCA